rnacentral:rRNA from 1 species
AGAGCGAACGCUGGCGGCAGGCCUAACACAUGCAAGUCGAGCGCCCGUAGCAAUACGGGAACGGCAGACGGGAUAGUAACACGUGGGAACGCGCCCUUCGGUUCGGAAUAACUCAGGGAAACUUGAGCUAAUACCGAAUACGCCCUUACGGGGAAAGAUUUAUUGCCGAAGGAACGGCCCGCGUCCGAUUAGCUAGUUGGUGAGGUAAUGGCUCACCAAGGCUACGAUCGGUAGCUGGUCUGAGAGGAUGACCAGCAUCACUGGGACUGAGACACGGCCCAGACUCCUACGGGAGGCAGCAGUGGGGAAUAUUGGACAAUGGGCGCAAGCCUGAUCCAGCCAUGCCGCGUGGAUGAUGGAAGGCCUUAGGGUGUAAAGUCCUUUUAACGGGGAGAUAAUGACGGUACCGUAGAAUAAGCCCGGCUAACUUCGUGCCAGCAGCCGC